AGGACUUUCCUAAUUUUUCUACAAUGAGCAUGGCUUUUGAAAUUUAAAAAAAGAUGAGAAGACUUUGGCCAAGAUAGAUUAAGUAACUGGCCCAAGAUUACAUGGCCAGCAAGUGGCAGAGCUGGAAACCUCAGAGUUGGACCUCAGAAUUUGUGCUCUUAAUCAUAUUUUAUAGCCUCACAAUAAAUUAGAAUAAAUUAACCGUUCCAAGCAGAGGAUUUUAGACUUCAUGCAACAUGACAGUACUUCUCAAAGUUGUUCAGGGAAUAAAACACUCAGAGAACUCUUAUUAAUAUGUUUAAUUUCAUCAACCAGAUUCAGCAAAAUCACCAACAGAAAACAAGACUAUGAUACAUGUGGACAAAAAGAAUCACAGAUAUAAAUAUCCUGUGCUUUCUCAAUAAAUGAUGCUGCCUUAC
rnacentral:lncRNA from 10 species